ensembl:lncRNA
CAGACUUGGAGCCUCUGAAUAACCUUGAGAAAUUACAACACUCAGUGUUUUCACCACAUUCAAUUUACAGAUGAGGUAGCCUCAGUCAAAGAAGCUAAGUAUGGCCAAGGCCUAUUGGCUCAAACCAGUCUGUCCCAAAUCCUUGUGUUUGCACUGCUCUAAGUCUUUCACCACUGGAUAUUGCAGUUGAUUAUAGAUGAAUAUGCUGAUGGUUCAGACUCCUAAGCACACACAGUGGAUCAGGAGGUAAGUGAUUAGAGAAGCAAGGAUAAGACGUGAAUGAUGGUGGAGAAGGCAGUUAUGAUGGAGGCCUGGGGGAAGCAGACACAGGAGGGAACUGUGCUGGGAGCUAAGAAGUGGGUGAGCCAAAGGCCCCUCCAGAUGUUUUCAAGCCAUCCAGGAUAAUUUUAAUUUGCUAAAAAAAAAGUGUGAUUCGAGGCUUCUAUAAAAUGGCAGGAUGCUACCUAACAGUGUCACACCUUGCUUUAGGCACAGACUAAGUUUUCCUAGUGUUUUGAUAAGGCGAGGGAGUAUUUCAACAAACAUAUUUAGCUCUCAAUUCAACUCUAAAAAGGUGAAGUGAUACAUCAAAAAAAAAAAAAGUUGAAAUGAUCCAGUUGAACCCAUGUUCGUGGCAAUCUAAAUUGAUAGACGCUACAAUUAUUUGGAGAACUAAUUCAUCAUGGAAGGUUUCUAAGUUUAUUUACCUUGUUUUGAAGAUAGAGGAGCUAUAAAAAUAUAAGGGGUUUAGAUUAAUAUUAAAAGAGAUUACAGUAACUAAUCCACAUAGCUUUGUGGGGCCUAAGAAAACAUAUGCUGAAUUGUACCAAAAUAGAUGUGCAAUUAAAAAUAGAGGCCUGAUCCAGUGAAAUCUGCCCUCAAAUCCUUCAGUGGGAGUUGGUACAGACCCUCACUCCCCCGAAGGUCACUCAUUUUUGACUCUUCAGCAAAUCAUUUGUUCUUUCUAGACAAUUUUUCUCGUUUAUGAGAGGUUUCCCUAGCCUUUGGCUUAGCAUUUCAUUUUAAACUUUCUUUAAUAGAAUGAUCUAAGUACUAACUGGUAGAAAUAAUUUCAAUUUAUUGGACGUAUAAUAUAUAUCAGAUAUUCUGCUGGACUGUGUGUGUGAGUGUGCACACAUGUGCACACAUUACCUGUAAUCCACCCUAUAGCCAGGCAGAGUAUUCUAAGUCUCACUCUAUGUGAGGGGAACUGAGGCUCAGUUCAUUUGGUGAGUGCCCUAGGUUAGACCCCAGCCUUGUCUACUUGUAAAGCCUGUGCUCCUUCUCCACGAGACACGUUCUAAAGGGUCAAAGAGAUGUUUGAUCUUCAAGAAGCCAGUUCAAAUUAUACAGUACGAUUCACUCUUUGAUUCAACAAAUAUUUAUUGAAAUUUUAUUGUGUUCCAGAUACUGUGAUAAGAACUGAGUCUACACUGAUGAGUACAACCAACAAGGGGCCCCUACCCACGUGCAGUUUUACUGUCUUGUGGAGGAGUCUGUCAUCGAGACUCAGCAUGAACCCAUAGCAAACUCAAGUUCAGUCUUCUCCUCUCAAGAUAUUUGCAAUCUGAAAUGACUUCAGUUAAGGUGAGCACUGAGGCAGAGUAAUUUAUUGGAACUGAUUUGGGUUCACCGCCUUGGCAUCAGGAUUUGUACCUAUGUUCAGGCCUGUGUUCGCACAUGCCACACUUGAUCUACUGGUAAACAUAUGAAGGGUAAGUCUCCUGAAAAAACCAGCACCCUUUCAGUGCGUUCAGCCUUGCUCUGAGCCAUUCACCUUAGCUUGCUUUCCUUCUUUGGCCAAAGACACCCCGGUAUGUUUGCUGGCACUUUUACAUGUCUCUAAUCAGCCCGCACAAGAGUGCUCAGCCUGCAGGCUACACUCUCACCUCUGACGUUUCCCAGAUAUGCCCAGACAUCACCCACAAAAGUAAGUCACAUGCUCUUCUUCAAGGCCCAGCUCAGAAUGGCCAAGUGCCACCGUGCGUCUUAGAUUCUCCUCUGCAAACAUGUCUGCUGGUUGGCGGUAUGUUUACAUGCUGAUUGAGGAUUGUUUCAAAUAAAGCUGUCUGAUGUAGAAAGACAUGGUUGCUAGGGAGCCAGAGUCACGAUGGCUGAUGUUACUAGGGAGGAUACAGAGCAGGCAGUGGCUACAGUUGAUUCAGCACUACGUUACCAGAAUAAGUAAAGGUCUAUUUGCCUUGCAUGAUAUUAAAUUAAAUCUGUCUGAGAGAUAAACAACUUAAAUUUUAAUGCUUCACAUUCAAGAGUGCAUCUGGACUAAUAUUUAAGUAACACAAUACAUCUAUCUUUCAGACUAUGAUUCAAUGUUUUGGUCUUCUUUGCUUUUAGGCUUUUGUUGAAAGCUCUAAAUUUAUUUAAUCCUUCUCUUUCCAGAAAGGUGAGAGUAUUGCUCCAAACCUUGCUCAACUAAAAAUACUGCGCAAAUCCUACUUCAGAUUUAUCUACUGAGUUAUUUAUUUUACCAGUUUAGAU